AUAAAGAAGACUAUUUAACUAGAUCAACUCGUCGUGAAGAAAUGAGAGAGUUGGCUGAGGUCGUGCAUUAUGCUGAAGUGGAUGUGAGCAAUGCCAGAAAAUGUCCAACUAGUAAUCUUGAAAAUGAAAGUAUCUUGUACGGUCGGAUUCGACAAGCAACAGUUUGAGACAAGAUGACCUACACAACGCUUAAUUUCGCAAACUCAUAGAGAAGACGCAGGCUAGGGGGCGG